rnacentral:rRNA from 1 species
UACGGAAGGCAGCAGUGGGGAAUAUUGCACAAUGGGCGCAAGCCUGAUGCAGCCAUGCCGCGUGUAUGAAAAAGGCCUUCGGGUUGUAAAGUACUUUCAGUCGUGAGGAAGGUGUUAAGGUUAAUAACCUUAGCAAUUGACGUUAGCGACAGAAGAAGCACCGGCUAACUCCGUGCCAGCAGCCGCGGUAAUACGGGGGUGCGAGCGUUAAUCGGAAUUACUGGGCGUAAAGGGCACGCAGGCGGUUAAUUAAGUUGGAUGUGAAAUCCCCGGGCUUAACCUGGGAAUGGCAUUCAAGACUGGUUAGCUAGAGUCUUGUAGAGGGGGUAGAAUUCCAUGUGUAGCGGUGAAAUGCGUAGAGAUGUGGAGGAAUACCGGUGGCGAAGGCGGCCCCUGGACAAGACUGACGCUCAUGUGCGAAAGCGUGGGGAGCAAACAGGGAUUAGAUACC